rnacentral:rRNA from 1 species
ACGUAGGGUGCGAGCGUUGUCCGGAAUUAUUGGGCGUAAAGAGCUCGUAGGCGGUCUGUCGCGUCGAAUGUGAAAACCCGGGGCUCAACUCCGGGCUUGCAUUCGAUACGGGCAGGCUAGAGUUCGGUAGGGGAGUCUGGAAUUCCUGGUGUAGCGGUGGAAUGCGCAGAUAUCAGGAGGAACACCGAUGGCGAAGGCAGGUCUCUGGGCCAUUACUGACACUGAGAAGCGAAAGCAUGGGGAGCGAACAGGA